GUGCCAGCAGCCGCGGUAAUACGAAGAGGGCUAGCGUUGCUCGGAAUCACUGGGCGUAAAGGGCGCGUAGGCGGCGUUUUAAGUUGGGGGUGAAAGCCUGUGGCUCAACCACAGAAUUGCCUUCGAUACUGGGACGCUUGAGUGUGGUAGAGGUUGGUGGAACUGCGAGUGUAGAGGUGAAAUUCGUAGAUAUUCGCAAGAACACCGGUGGCGAAGGCGGCCAACUGGACCAUCACUGACGCUGAGGCGCGAAAGCGUGGGGAGCAAACAGGAUUAGAUACCCUUGUAGUCC
rnacentral:rRNA from 1 species